rnacentral:rRNA from 1 species
CUGGAAAGUGUAGCCAUAGAGGGUGAUAGUCCCGUAUGCAAAAACCUAACCUUAGCUAGCAGUAUCCUGAGUAGGGCGGGACACGAGAAAUCCUGUCUGAAGCUGGGUAGACCACUAUCCAACCCUAAAUACUACUACCAGAUCGAUAGCGAACAAGUACCGUGAGGGAAAGGUGAAAAGAACGGCGGUGAGCCGAGUGAAAUAGAACCUGAAACCAUUUGCUUACAAUCAUUCAGAGCACUAUGUAGCAAUACAGUGUGAUGGACUGCCUUUUGCAUAAUGAGCCUGCGAGUUGUGGUGUCUGGCAAGGUUAAGCUAACGCGAAGCCGUAGCGAAAGCGAGUCUGAAUAGGGCGCUAAGUCAGAUGCUGCAGACCCGAAACGAAGUGAUCUAUCCAUGAGCAGGUUGAAGCUAGUGUAAGAACUAGUGGAGGACCGAACCCGCUAGCGUUGAAAAGCUAUGGGAUGACUUGUGGAUAGGGGUGAAAGGCCAAUCAAACUUCGUGAUAGCUGGUUCUCUCCGAAAUAUAUUU